CUUAUAGGCACUAAGGUCGAAAGAAACAAUAACGGACAUAUCCAGAUACUGUUUAGAUGUUUGUACAAAAGAAGAGUUACAAAUAUUUUCAAAUCAAAUAUCUAGUACUAUAAUAGAAUUUUCGAUGUGUGAUCUUUUCACUGUAAAUGUUCGACUCUUCACUUCAGCGGUCGGUGUUUGUAUUACUUACUUAGUAAUAUUACUUCAGUUCAAAUUAAA